rnacentral:lncRNA from 1 species
AGCCCAAGUGAAGAGACCACACGAAGAAGUCACACACAGGUGUCUUUCUGAUGGCCCAGCUGCGGUAGCAGCUGCCAGACACGCAAGUGAAGACUCUCCGACCGAGGCCAGCACCCCAGCCACCAAGUCGCCCUCAGCCUUCAGGCUGUCCCAGCCGAGGCCCCAGACACUGUGGAGCAGAGACAAGCUGUCCUGCUGUGCCCUGUCUGCAUUCCUGACCACAGGAUCUGAGAGAUAUCAUUCCAGGCGAGUAGAAUGGCUGCUUUACACCGCUGUGUUCUGGGGUGGGUUUGUUAUGCAGGAGGAGUAACCGAGCCACAGCUGGUAAGGGGCAAUGCUCGGGUUUGAACCCGAGUCCUUCUGGCUUUGAGGCUGCCCCUUAAACCACAUAUAGGCUGGAUGAUCCCCUGGAUGUGGAGGAGUCGGCACUCCCUUUCUUGUGCAAUCGACUCAGUGCAUCGGGGUGACGUGCCCUUUCUCUAGCUGACCUUCUGGAAGCACAUAAACGGAGACAGAAAUGCUUUCUUUUUGUUUUGCCAGUUUAUUGCUGCUGCUGCUGCUGCAGUUCUUAUUUAGUAUAUAUGAAUUCUUGUUCUUAUUUUUUGCUAGUUAGAGUAAGGCUGGGCGUGGUGACCCUCAGCUGUAAUCCCAGCACCUUGGGAGGCCAAGGUGGGCAGAUCAUUUGAAUCCCAGAGUUUGAAACCAGCCUGAGCAUCGUGGUGAAACCCCAUCUCUACAAAACAAAUACAAAAAUUAGCCGGGCACGGUGGCAUGUGCCUGUAGUCCUAGCUACUUGGGAGGCUGAGGUGAGAGGAUGGCUUGAGUCUGGGAGGCGGAGGUUGCAGUGAGCCAAGAUUGCGGCAUUACACUCCAGUCUGGCCGACAGAGUGAGAGCCUAUCUCUCAAAGAAAGAAAGAGAAAGAAAGAAAGAAAGAAAGAAAAAGAAAGAAGGAAGGAAGGAAGGAAGGAAGGAAGGAAGGAAGGAAGGAAAGGAAGGAAGGAAGGAAGGAAGGAAGGAAGGAAGGAAGGAAGGAAGAAAGGUUAGAAUAAAUAGAUAAGAAACACAAAAAAUCCACCUGCCAUCCCCACUACGCAGGAAAAACCUCCACAUAACACUUGAAUCUUGUAGAAUUGUAUCUACCAGGCAUUUAACUCACGCAAUUUCACUGGGCAUCAGUGGGCCAAAAAGGGUGAUGGGGAGAGUGACAAUCUUUAUUUUUUCGUUUCUUUUCUUUUUCUUUUUUUUUUUUUUUGAGAGAGUCUUGCUCUGUUGGCCAGGCUGCAGUGCAGUGGUGCAAUCUUGGUUUACUGAAACCUCUGCCUCCCGAGUUUGAGUGAUUCUCCUGCCUCAGCCUCCAGAGUAGCUGGGAUUACAAGUGAGCACCAUCACGCCUGGCUAAUUUUUGUAUUUUUAGUAGAGAUGGGGUUUCACCAUGUUGGCCAGGCAGAUCUCAAACUCCUGGCCUCAAGUUACCUGCCCGCCUCAGCCUCCCAAAGUGCUGGGAUUUACAGGCGUGAGCCACCAAGCCCGGCUGAGAAUGACAAUUUUCAUAUGGCAAGUGAGUGUAGCUGGCAGGUCCUAUUUUUUGUUCAACAUGGCCCCAAACACAAGAUGACCCCUCUCCAUCCAGGGGCUAUUUGGAUUUGCUAAGUGUUUAUAAUGCACCACGGUUGAGAGGAAAUUUAACAUAUUUUUCAGGAUCAUUUUUGAUUCUGCAUAAAAAGAGACCUUUUUUAUCCCUUCCAAAAAUGGGAUUGAGCUAUGCAGAUGGUUUUGUACCUGACUUUUUCACGUAACAACGUACUUUGAACUGCUUUUGGGCAAGUGGCUUUCUCCUGGCCUUCAUGGGAAGGAAGCGCUCUGGGAGUCCACCUGCGCUCUUGCUGAGUGGCAGUCAAAGUCGACUGGAACUCUACAAGCUGUGCAGUCAGGAUGCUGAGCAAAAGAAGCCAGAUGGGAAGAGCACACACUGUGUGCUUCCCUUUAUAGAAAGUUCAAAACCAGCAAAAGUCAUCUAUGGGGUUAGAAUUCAGGACAGCCAUUAACCUUGGGGGUGGUGGUGGGGAGGAUUUACCAGGAGAGACAUCAAGGGGGCUUCUGGAAUGUCCUGUGUACAUCUGGGUGCUCAUUCCACGAAUGUGUCCACUUGGCGAGAAUUCACUGAGCUCUUUAUGUAUAAUGUGUGUACUUUUCCUUGCAAUUAAAACACACAUACAAACACACGCAGAUGCAUGCGUGCGCGCGCGCGCGCGCACACACACACACACACACACACACACACACACACACACACACACAGUGUUCUUAGAGCGCAGGCUGUCCUGUCUGGAAAUACAUGUUUAAUGCUUUUGCCACAUAUGGGCAGAGGUGAGUGUUGAGAGGACUGGGUAUGAAGUUGGGAACCCAAGUCUGAAUCCUGGUUCAGCCAUCAUUAAAUGUGUGACCUUGGGCAAGUUACUUAACCUCUCUGAGCCUCAGUUUCCUCAUCUGGACUCUGUACCAAGCCCACAAGAUCACAGAAGCAGCCACUGCUCGCCUCUCCAUCUGGCUCUUCCGUUCUUCUCUGGCUGUCUCUCUAAGCCCACACCACACUGGCCACCAUUCUUGUUCCUAUCACAGCAAAGCUCAAUGUGGCCUCAGGGCUUUUGCCCUAGCUAUUCCUGCUGCCUGGAAUUACCCUUUCCCUGAUUUUCUUGUGGUUGGUUCCUUUUCCUCCUUCAUGUCUCAGUUCAAAGGUUACCUUCUCAGAGAGGAGAGCCCCUCACUGACCACUAUCCACACCAGCCAUCAUCAGUUCCAUUCCCUGGCCUCAGUUUCUUCCCAGUGCCUCUUAGGUUCUGAAAUGGUCAUAUUUGUUUCUUGCAUUGUUGUUGCUCUUUACUUGUUAUCUGCUUGGCACUCCCUCUAGACCCAUGGACUCUAGGACAUGAGGAAUCAUGAUUGUCUUGUUCAUUGCUACACCUCCAUCACAUAAAACAAUGUGUAUUUGUUCAAUUAACCAAUCAAUCUAUACAGCGAUCUGAUUCUACUUUAUGGAAUUCUCGGGAAGUUUCGAAAGUACGUUUUAAACAGCCAGGUUUAUAAGAAUGAGGAAACUUUGAAAGCUCUGUUUGAAUGUGGUUAACUCUACUGAGAAGAAUCUAGAUAGGCCCAAGAUGCUUCGUGAGCUGCGUCUUCCAUAAUUUCAUCUACACUGAAAGUCACUAUACCGCUUGCAACCACCCGCCCCCCACCUCCACCUUUUGCUAUUUGCACCUUUUGUUAUUGGCCAUUUGGCUGGAACAAAGUCACUAAUAUUCUUAGUAGUUUAUUUCUAUAUAUAGAGAUUUUCUUUUUUUUUUUUUUUGAGACGGAGUCUUACUCUGUUACCUAGGCUGGAGUGCAGUGGCAUGAUCUCGGCUCACUGCAAUCUCUGUCUCCCAGGUUCAAGAGAUUCUCCUACCUCAGCUUCCUUAGUAGCUGGGAUUAUAGGCAUACACCACCGAGCCCUGCUAAUGUUUGUAUUUUUAGUAGAGAUGGGGUUUCACCAUGUUGGUUAGGCUGGUCUCAAACUCCUGACCUCAGGUAAUCUGCCCACCUUGGCCUCCCAAAGUGUUGGGAUUACAGGUGUGAGCCCCCACGCCUGGCCAACAUGGUUUUAAGAUGGUCAAAAGGUACAGAGUGUACAAAGAGAAGUCUGUCUCCCUCUGACUACUGCUCUAGAGCCGAUUAGUGUUUCCAGGUACCUAGUAAGCGCUUCCAGAACUGUUCUGUGCAGAAACAGGCAUGUGGGCUAUAUCUUCAUCUUUCCCGUUUACACAGAAAGGAUCUAGUUCAAUACACUGCUUUAUAUCUUUGCUUUUUCUUUUUUCUUCUUUAUAAUUGAUCUUGGAGCUGUUUCCAUACCACACAUUGUAUGUGUAUGUUUUAGUUGCACAGAAAGGUGUACGCAUCAAGAGCUCAGAGAGUAACUGGUCUCUCUCUCUCCUUCUCUCUCUCUCUCUUCUUUUAAGACGAAGAUUUGCUCUUGUCACCCAGGGUGGAGUGCAGUGGCCUGAUCUCGGCUCAUUGCAACCUCUGCCUCCCAGGUUCAAGUGAUUCUCCUACCUCAGCCUCUUGAGUAGCUGGCAUUACAGGCGUGCACCACCACGCCCAGCUAAUUUUUGUACUUUUAGUAGAGGCAGGGUUUCACCAUGUUGGCCAGGCUGGUCUCAAACUCCUGACCUCAGGUGAUCUGUCCACCUCUGCCUCCCAAAAUGCUGGGAUUACAGGUGUGAGCCACCGUGUCUGGCCAUUUUUUUUUUUUUUUUUGAGACAGGGUUUUGCUCUGUUACCCAGGCUGGAGUGCAGUGGCAUGAUCUUAGAUCACUGCAGCCUCUAAGUCCCGGGUUCAAGAAAUCCUCCCACUUCAGCCUCCCUACUAGCUGCGACUACAGUCAUUCUUUUUAAAAACCAUAGAAUACUGACGGACACCUCAGGCAGCUCUGGUCUUUUGCUUCUGCAGGCAGUGCUGCAGUGAUGGUCCUUGGAUGCACCUUUGGGCCCAGGAAAAUCACUGAUUCCUUUUGAAUCUGGUAAAGCAACCCGAGAGUUUACCCCUCCCCAACCUCAUCUUCACCCCUCGGCCCAUCCCGCCCUUGCUGGUGUUUGUGUUUUGGCCUUUUAAAGACUUUUUCAAAAUUGACUUUGGCUUCUUGGCCUGAACUCUGAAGUGUUUGAGCUGAUAAGAUAGCAGGCUUGGCUGUGGGGGCCAGGGGUAAACAGUGACCCCGGGGCCCUCAGCCCCAGUAAGGGAGGGGCCACAGCCCCAAGUCUCUCCUGUCUCCAGCUGUGGGAGCAGGCGGUGUGGCUGGAGGAGGAAGCUGAAUUGCGUUGGGCUCCAGAUGGGUUUGGGAACCGGAAGGAAGUGGGAAGCUGGCCCCACACAGACCCACUUCUCUGGGCCUUUGAGAACAGUGCCAAGAGGCGCAACAUGGGCUCAGUAUUUGCCGGGGCCUCUCCUAAACCAAACAGGACGCCACGGGCAAGUUGGAGCAAAGUCCUGGCAAACCUGAAGACACAUCCCGUGGAGCCCCAAGGAGCCGAGGGUCACAGGAGGGGCCCUGCCUCCAAGGCCGUGGCAGACAGAACUGGCACCAUCUCCACACAGCGUCACCGAGUGAUGUCCAGUCGUCUCAGGCCGGGGAUUGUAACUGCCCCGCUCUGAUCUAGGCCACAGAAGUGAACAAAUCAGUUUGGAUUCCCACCCUCUAGAACUUUCUUCAGUUGAGGAGGGAAGAGAGAGGAUAAAUAGGCAAAAACUGGCCAGGGUGCAGGGGACUACAAUGGAGAAUGGCCAGGCUGUGGGGGCAGAGCAGGGGCACUGCUCACCCUGGAGGGGGAAGGCCUCCCCAGUCAUGCCUCGUCCCAGCUUAAAAUGCUUUGGGGCCUGCCAUGGUUUCUCAGGGCUCCUGGGACCAUGGCCUCUGCGUGAUCUUCCCUGCCCACCUCUACCAGCAGGGUCAGUGGUGCCAGCUUGGCAACACUUGGUGCCCAUGUCUACCUGGGGUCCCUGCAUGGCUGCUCCCUCUGCUGGCAGCGCCCUCACCUCCCACCUCCCACUCAGCUCUCAGCUCUCAGCUGAGAUGUCACCUUCUCGUCCAGGAAGCCUUCCUUGAUGUCCCUGGAUGGUCUUGGGGCUAUCACAUGCUCCUGUACAUUCCUCAUCCCUGCUUCAGUCACUCUGGGGUUACUUGUUUGCGGGUGGCCCAAGGUAGCCCAGCAUGGCCAGAACCCAGCCCUGUGGAUGACCCUGCUGGAUUCAAAUGCUAGCUCCGCCUCUUAGCUGUGCAACCUUGGGCCUCAGUUUUGCCAUCUGGAAAAAGGGCAUAGUGAUGGCAUCUACCUCACAGGGUGGUUGUGAGGAAGAAGCAGUUUAAUACAAGUACUUAGAAAGACAUCUGGCACCAACUUUGCACUCAGUAAAUGUUGGCUGUGCCAUUACACUUGUUCUCUCUCCCACAGAACACAGCAGGUGCUCACUUCACAUUUGCAUGCUAAAUCAGUGCAGCCCUUCAAAUAUGCUCAUGAAAAUGAGCAAUGGGGGGGAAGGCUUAGUUAAUUCAGAUGCUCCUCGACUUGGGAUGGGGCUGCAGCCUGAUAAACCCACUGCAAGUUGAAAAUAUCAUUAAGUCAAAAGUGCAUUUAGUGCACCCAACCUACGGAACAUCAUCAUAGCUUCGCCUCGCCUCCCUUAAAGGUGCUCGAAACGUUUACACUCACCUACGUUGGGCAAAAUCAUCUAACACAAAGCCUAUUUUAUAAUAAAGUGUUGAGUAUUUCAUGUAAAAUUAUUGUACUCUGUAUUGCUAAACUGAUAAAAGAUUAAAGUUCAAAAUUCCAAGUAUGAUUUCUAUCAAAUGCCUAUCUCUUUCGUACCAUAAUAAACACGAAAAGUCCUAAAAUGAACCAUUGUUAGUCGAGGAUCAUCUGCAA